UUUCCGUAGGUGAACCUGCGGAAGGAUCAUUAAAAGGCGGCUCUUGAAGCCGAGCGGCGGCGCCCUUCGGGGUGCCUGCUGACGCGGGAUCUCCCUGCUAUCCUUUGUCUAUUCGUACCUUCUUUUCCUCAGCGGGCUUGCCUGCUGCAGGACCUUUUGAACAAACCUUUAUGAAAUACUUGUCUGAACAAUAGUAUUAAUUACUUACAACUUUCAACAAUGGAUCUCUUGGUUCUGGCAUCGAUGAAGAACGCAGC
rnacentral:misc_RNA from 1 species